GCUUGCUUCUUGGGGUUGUAGGACACUCUAUACGGAGUUACAAAAGAAAGUUAUAAAUGAAGCGGUCUGGAAAGGCCCGCCAAAGACGGUAACAGCCCGGUAGUUGAAAUGGCUUUCCCUCCAGAGUGGAUCCUGAGUACGGCGGAACACGUGAAAUUCCGUCGGAAUCCGGGAGGACCAUCUCCCAAGGCUAAAUACUCCCUAGUGACCGAUAGUGAACCAGUACCGUGAGGGAAAGGUGAAAAGCACCCCGGAAGGGGAGUGAAACAGUUCCUGAAACCGUGUGCCUACAAGUAGUUAGAGCCCGUUAAUGGGUGAUAGCGUGCCUUUUGUAGAAUGAACCGGCGAGUUACGAUUUGUUGCAAGGUUAAGCGGAAAAAGCGGAGCCGUAGCGAAAGCGAGUCUGAAUAGGGCGCAUAAGUAACAGGUCGUAGACCCGAAACCAGGUGAUCUACCCAUGUCCAGGAUGAAGGUAAGGUAAUACUUACUGGAGGUCCGAACCCACGCACGUUGAAAAGUGCGGGGAUGAGGUGUGGGUAGCGGAGAAAUUCCAAUCGAACUUGGAGAUAGCUGGUUCUCUCCGAAAUAGCUUUAGGGCUAGCCUCGAGGUAAAGAGUCAUGGAGGUAGAGCACUGUUUGGACUAGGGGCCCUUCUCGGGUUACCGAAUUCAGAUAAACUCCGAAUGCCAUGUACUUAUACUCGGGAGUCAGACUGCGAGUGAUAAGAUCCGUAGUCGAAAGGGAAACAGCCCAGACCACCAGUUAAGGUCCCCAAAUAUAUGUUAAGUGGAAAAGGAUGUGGGGUUGCUUAGACAACCAGGAUGUUGGCUUAGAAGCAGCCACCAUUGAAAGAGUGCGUAAUAGCUCACUGGUCGAGUGACCCCGCGCCGAAAAUGUACCGGGGCUAAACAUAUUACCGAAACUGUGGAUGAACCUCUUUAGAGGUUCGUGGUAGGAGAGCGUUCUAAGGGCGGUGAAGUCAGACCGGAAGGACUGGUGGAGCGCUUAGAAGUGAGAAUGCCGGUAUGAGUAGCGAAAGAAGGGUGAGAAUCCCUUCCACCGAAUAUCUAAGGUUUCCUGAGGAAGGCUCGUCCGCUCAGGGUUAGUCGGGACCUAAGCCGAGGCCGAUAGGCGUAGGCGAUGGACAACAGGUAGAGAUUCCUGUACCAGUGCUAAUUGUUUAACCGAUGGGGUGACACAGAAGGAUAGGGAAUCGCACGAAUGGAAAUGUGCGUCCAAGCAGUGAGUGUGAGAAGUAGGCAAAUCCGCUUCUCGCGAAGCAUGAGCUGUGAUGGGGAAGGAAAUUAAGUACGGAAGUUCCUGAUUUCACGCUGUCAAGAAAAGCCUCUAGGAAGAGUAGUACUGCCCGUACCGCAAACCGACACAGGUAGAUGAGGAGAGAAUCCUAAGGUGAGCGAGAGAACUCUCGUUAAGGAACUCGGCAAAAUGACCCCGUAACUUCGGGAGAAGGGGUGCUCUAUUAGGGUGCAAGCCCGAGAGAGCCGCAGUGAAUAGGCCCAGGCGACUGUUUAGCAAAAACACAGGUCUCUGCAAAACCGUAAGGUGACGUAUAGGGGCUGACGCCUGCCCGGUGCUGGAAGGUUAAGAGGAGUGCUUAGCUUCGGCGAAGGUACGAAUUGAAGCCCCAGUAAACGGCGGCCGUAACUAUAACGGUCCUAAGGUAGCGAAAUUCCUUGUCGGGUAAGUUCCGACCCGCACGAAAGGCGCAACGAUCUGGGCACUGUCUCAACGAGAGACUCGGUGAAAUUAUAGUACCUGUGAAGAUGCAGGUUACCCGCGACAGGACGGAAAGACCCCGUGGAGCUUUACUGCAACCUGAUAUGGAAUGUUUGUACCGCUUGUACAGGAUAGGUAGGAGCCGAAGAGACGUGUGCGCUAGCAUACGAGGAGGCAAUGGUGGGAUACUACCCUGGCUGUAUGACCAUUCUAACCCGCCACGCUUAGCGCGUGGGGAGACAGUGUCAGGUGGGCAGUUUGACUGGGGCGGUCGCCUCCUAAAGAGUAACGGAGGCGCCCAAAGGUUCCCUCAGAAUGGAUGGAAAUCAUUCGCAGAGUGUAAAGGCACAAGGGAGCUUGACUGCGAGACUGACAAGUCGAGCAGGGACGAAAGUCGGGCUUAGUGAUCCGGUGGUUCCGCAUGGAAGGGCCAUCGCUCAACGGAUAAAAGCUACCCCGGGGAUAACAGGCUUAUCUCCCCCAAGAGUCCACAUCGACGGGGAGGUUUGGCACCUCGAUGUCGGCUCGUCGCAUCCUGGGGCUGUAGUCGGUCCCAAGGGUUGGGCUGUUCGCCCAUUAAAGCGGCACGCGAGCUGGGUUCAGAACGUCGUGAG
rnacentral:rRNA from 1 species